UAAGGUUUUAAGUUAACUAAACUCUAAACCUUCAAAGUUUAAAAUAGGAGGAACCCUCUUAAACCUUAA
rnacentral:tRNA from 1 species